rnacentral:rRNA from 1 species
CAGUCGCCGCGGGAAUACGAAGGGGGCCAGCGUUGCUCGGAAUGACUGGGCGUAAAGGGCGCGUAGGCGGUUUAUACAGUCAGAUGUGAAAUUCCUGGGCUCAACCUGGGGACUGCAUUUGAUACGUAUGGACUUGAGUGGAGAAGAGGGUCGUGGAAUUUCCAGUGUAGAGGUGAAAUUCGUAGAUAUUGGAAAGAACACCGGUGGCGAAGGCGGCGACCUGGUCUUUAACUGACGCUGAGGCGCGAGAGCGUGGGGAGCAAACAGGAUUAGAUACCCCCGUCCCUGUCUCUUAUACACA